GUACAAACCCACAAAUCUAAGAGCUUUCGUUGAAAUCAUGAGCCAGGAAAAUCAUAUCCACAGUAUGAUCCUUUCUAUGGUACAUUGAACAAUAUUUUUCCUCCUAACAGAAUAUAACACAACAAAGAACGUUUUCUCGAGUCAAGUAGAUAUGCAAAGAGAUGUUGAAUCCAUACCUGAGUUUAAACGAAAGAUAAAAUAAGUCAGUUUAUAGAAAUAACAGCAUCCGUGUUCAGUGAUCACGACUGACUUAAUAAUAUGAAAGAUGUCUAGAACCAAAAGAAGGAACAUAAAUGAGAAGUUUGAAAUUUGUAUCCCAAAGUUCGUAGCUUUUUUAUUUGGUUUCUGCAGAGUUGAGUCGAAUGAAGCAAUCCCUAAAUGUUCCAUAGUUCUUUACUUUAUAACAAGAAAUUUAAGUGCUCGUGUAAUUUACGUCUCAUUUUUCACCUUGUCCUUCCUUACUUUCCC
rnacentral:lncRNA from 1 species